UACGGAAGGCAGCAGUGGGGAAUAUUGCACAAUGGGCGCAAGCCUGAUGCAGCCAUGCCGCGUGUAUGAAGAAGGCCUUCGGGUUGUAAAGUACUUUCAGUCGUGAGGAAGGUGUUAAGGUUAAUAACCUUAGCAAUUGACGUUAGCGACAGAAGGAGCACCGGCUAACUCCGUGCCAGCAGCCGCGGUAAUACGGAGGGUGCGAGCGUUAAUUGGAAUUACUGGGCGUAAAGGGCACGCAGGCGGUUAAUUAAGUUGGAUGUGAAAUCCCCGGGCUUAACCUGGGAAUGGCAUUCAAGACUGGUUAGCUAGAGUCUUGUAGAGGGGGUAGAAUUCCAUGUGUAGCGGUGAAAUGCGUAGAGAUGUGGAGGAAUACCGGGUGGCGAAGGCGGCCCCUGGGACAAAGACUGACGCUCAUGUGCGAAAGCGUGGGGAGCAAACAGGGAUUAGAUACC
rnacentral:rRNA from 1 species